rnacentral:snRNA from 1 species
GUCCCCUGGCAGCACGUACCCUCAGACUGGAAUGGCAGAGACGAUUAGCACAGCCCUGCACACAGAUGACACACACAUUUGUGGAGUGUUCAAUAUUUUU